UUUCAGGGCUGCUGUUUUCUUUCCAACAGCAUGGUGUUACAUCAAAAAGGGAGUGUAUUCUGCCAGACACCACCUAUGGUGAACUUCAAACCUACCACUGGUUACCAGAAGGUGUUGUGCUAGCCUAGCACACCAUUACCCCCAUCCUGCAAAUAGGAUACUCAUAGUGUCUGCUAUCUGUGAGCAAGGCAGCCUUAGGUGGAUGUCAUCGCUACCCUGAGGACACUGAACCAUCGGGAAGACUUACAUAACCAGCCUACCUGCUUUGUGAUGAGGAGACUGAACGCAACCAUAUGGACAGGCACUUUGGAGCAACUGUAAUUUGCAGCAUGGCAGUUGCACAGAAAUACAUAUCUGCUCCCCAAGAGUUGCUGAUGCACCAGAGCUGAAGCCUCUCCAGCCUCACGGUGGACUACUAAAGGAGAAGAGAGAAUGGGAACAGGAACUUCCUCUGCUUGAACUUCUACUCUGCUCGAACUUCUACUCUGCUCUCGUGUCAAGAGUUUCCCAGGAAAUCAUCAGAGCAGAAAUUCAGAUGAUCCUUGUCGACAGCAGAGAAUCAUCCUUGCCUGAGUAAAGCAGAGAACUCUUGUAAACUGCAUCCCAUCCCACAGCAGCACAGUUCACGUAGGACUGCAGCCCUCAGACUGGGCAGACAUCUCCCGAACUAGAGGAUUCCAGCCUGGGUUUUCUACCUGAAAGCCACAUAAAAUAGCGAGAAAAAAUAGCUCAGGGAUCACUCAGGAAUGCCUAGCUUCACAAACCAAGAACCCUGCUAGUGGUUACCCCCAUCACAGAGCUAGCUGCAUCUCAGCAACACUCUUCUAUGUUAAGUUUGCUUUCUCAGCAAAUUUAGAACAACUAUUC